GACAGAGGGGGCAAGCGUUGUCCGGAGUUACUGGGCGUAAAGGGCGCGGAGGCGGUCUGCGGCGUCGGCGCUGAAAGCGCUCCGCUUAACGGGGCGAGGCGUGCCGAUACGCGCAGGCUCGAGGCGAGCAGAGGGUGGCGGAAUUCCGGGUGGAGCGGUGAAAUGCGUAGAGAUCCGGAGGAACGCCAGUGGGGAAGCCGGCCACCUGGGCUCGGCCUGACGCUGCGGAGCGACAGCGUGGGGAGCAAACCGG
rnacentral:rRNA from 1 species